AGAGCGAACGCUGGCGGCAGGCCUAACACAUGCAAGUCGAGCGCCCGUAGCAAUACGGGAGCGGCAGACGGGAUAGUAACACGUGGGAACGCGCCCUUCGGUUCGGAAUAACUCAGGGAAACUUGAGCUAAUACCGAAUACGCCCUUACGGGGAAAGAUUUAUUGCCGAAGGAACGGCCCGCGUCCGAUUAGCUAGUUGGUGAGGUAAUGGCUCACCAAGGCUACGAUCGGUAGCUGGUCUGAGAGGAUGACCAGCAUCACUGGGACUGAGACACGGCCCAGACUCCUACGGGAGGCAGCAGCAGGGAAUCUUGCGCAAUGGGCGAAAGCCUGACGCAGCAACGCCGCGUGGGUGAAGAAGGCUCUCGGGUCGUAAAGCCCUUUUCUGGGGGAAGAAGUCCUGACGGUACCCCAGGAAGAAGCCACGGCUAACUACGUGCCAGCAGCCGC
rnacentral:rRNA from 1 species